GACGAACGCUGGCGGCGUGCUUAACACAUGCAAGUCGAACGGUAAGGCCCUUCGGGGUACACGAGUGGCGAACGGGUGAGUAACACGUGGGUGAUCUGCCCUGCACUUCGGGAUAAGCCUGGGAAACUGGGUCUAAUACCGGAUAGGACCACUGCCUGCAUGGGUGGUGGUGGAAAGCUUUUGCGGUGUGGGAUGGGCCCGCGGCCUAUCAGCUUGUUGGUGGGGUGAUGGCCUACCAAGGCGACGACGGGUAGCCGGCCUGAGAGGGUGACCGGCCACACUGGGACUGAGAUACGGCCCAGACUCCUACGGGAGGCAGCAGUGGGGAAUAUCGCACAAUGGGCGCAAGCCUGAUGCAGCGACGCCGCGUGAGGGAUGACGGCCUUCGGGUUGUAAACCUCUUUCAGCACCGACGAAGCGCAAGUGACGGUAGGUGCAGAAGAAGGACCGGCCAACUACGUGCCAGCAGCCGCGGUAAGAC
rnacentral:rRNA from 1 species